rnacentral:rRNA from 1 species
CAUGCACGUCUAAGUACUCGCCUUGGUCUAUUUAAAGUGAAACCGCGAAUGGCUCAUUAAAUCAGUUAUGGUUCACUGGACCGUACCACAUCCUACUCGGAUAACUGUGGUAAUUCUAGAGCUAAUACAUGCAACUAGGCCCUGCCCGGCCGCUCCGUCCGUCAAAACGACGGUCGGUCGGAAAGGGCGCCAUUAUCAGCUCAAAACCGACCGGGUCGCCCGCCGUCCUCUGGACGGGCAGGGCUCCCGUUCUCGUUGACCCUUUGACGACUCUGGAUAACCUCCUAGCGGAUCGCCGGUCAAACUUAGGUCGGCCGGGUGUUUCGGCAUCCGCGCCCGACCUAACGGCGACUGGUCUUUCGAAUGUCUGCCUUAUCAACUGUCGACGGUAGGUUAGACGCCUACCGUGGUCGUAACGGGUGACGGGGAAUCAGGGUUCGAUUCCGGAGAGGGAGCCUGAGAAACGGCUACCACAUCCAAGGAAGGCAGCAGGCACGCAAAUUACCCAAUCCCCGAACGGGGAGGUAGUGACGAAAAAUAACGAUACGGGACUCUUAACGAGGCCUCGUAAUCGGAAUGAGUCCGCUCUAAAUCCUUUUAACGAGGAUCUAUCGGAGGGCAAGUCUGGUGCCAGCAGCCGCGGUAAUUCCAGCUCCGAUAGCGUAUAUUAAAGUUGCUGCGGUUAAAAAGCUCGUAGUUGGAUUUGGGUUUUCGGGCCGGCGGGCCGCCGCCUUCGAGCGGCGCGUCUCCCGCCGCGCCCCCGGAACCGCACGGUCGCAGAGGCCCCCGCGGUGCUCUUGAGUGAGUGUCCGCCGGUUCGGGUCGCCGAACGUUUACUUUGAAAAAAUUAGAGUGCUCCAGGCAGGCCGGUAAAGCGUUGUUUAAAAAAGACCCGCGCCUGAAUAGUCACGCAUGGAAUAAUGAAAGAGGACCGGUGGUCCUAUUUUGUUGGUUUUCGGGAUUUUCCGCCGUCAUGAUUAAGAGGGACGGCCGGGGGCAUUCGUACCGCGGCGCGAGAGGUGAAAUUCUAGGACCGCCGCGAGACGAACCGUUGCGAAAGCAUUUGCCAAGAAUGUUUUCCUUAAUCAAGAACGAAAGUCAGAGGUUCGAAGGCGAUCAGAUACCGCCCUAGUUCUGACCGUAAACGAUGCCACCUGACGAUCCGCCAGGGUUACUACCAUGACUCGGCGGGCAGCCCCCGGGAAACCCAAGCCUUCGGGUUCCGGGGGAAGUAUGGUUGCAAAGCUGAAACUUAAAGGAAUUGACGGAAGGGCACCACCAGGAGUGGAGCCUGCGGCUUAAUUUGACUCAACACGGGAAACCUCACCCGGCCCGGACACCGCGAGGAUUGACAGAUUGAGAGCUCUUUCUCGAUUCGGUGGGUGGUGGUGCAUGGCCGUUCUUAGUUGGUGGAGCGAUUUGUCUGGUUAAUU